CUUCCUCGAUCUGCUGCGGGCAGAUGUAGUGGAUAUGCGCGUCCAUGCCGCCGGCCGUGAUGAUCUUGCCUUCGCCGGCAAUCGCCUCGGUCGAGGGGCCGACAAUGAUAUUGACGCCCGGCUGGGUAUCGGGAUUGCCCGCCUUGCCAAUCGCCGCGAUACGGCCGUUCUUGAGCCCGAUGUCGGCCUUCACGAUGCCUGUGUGGUCGAUGAUCACCACAUUGGUGACGACGGUGUCGACGGCACCUUGCGCCCGCGUCGCCUGGCUCUGCCCCAUGCCGUCACGGAU
rnacentral:sRNA from 1 species